ACGAUAAGCAGUGCAUAAAAGUCGCCAUGUACAGUGGUUUAAUAAUAAAAUUGAUAGUAUUCAUGAUUUUCGCUCAAAUGUUGUUAGCUCAAAAGGUAGACUACCCAGAUUUGAGAUACGACCUACCGUCCACCAACGAGGACACUGGGGAGGAAUAGAAGACAUGCAAAACCUCAUACAUACAUACAUAAUAUAUUAGUGUAAUUUUA